UGCUGUGGCGGGGCAAUCUGAAUUUCUGGAAAUUUGCAGCUAUGGCUGGGCACAAAGAACUCAAAGCCCGAAGACAUAAUCUGAGCCUCUUGCAUCAUUUCUCCAUUACCAAAACCAACAGCCCUCUUCUAGUCCUUUUCCUUUCUUCACUAUAGAAAACAGAGGGAGCAUUAACAUCAGCAGCAGCAGCAGCAGUAGUUGG
rnacentral:misc_RNA from 1 species